rnacentral:lncRNA from 10 species
CUGACUUGACAUGUUGCUUAGCCACACCCGAGUCACAUAGUCCCCCUGGGUUUUAAUUUCUUUUUCCGGUGUUAGUAAUACUUGUUCCCUUCCUGCCCCACUGGCCUGUUGGGAGGCAUAAGUAGACUCAUAGCAUGCUAGGUCCUCCCUUUUCAUUAUCUUCCUAGGAAAACAGUUACCCAUAGGAGCCCAGAACCUUGCCUAGAGUCACCCUGCCAGCAAGUGGCAGAGCUGCGAUUUGAAUCUGGGGCUUAUGCAUCUGAUUCUGCUGAGGAUGUCAAAUUACCAGGCUUUGGUCUAAGCAGAAGUCAGGGGACAGCAGUGAAAAGAGCACGGUUCCACACCUUGAUGCCGUCUCUCACUUUCCCUCUGUGUGACCUUGGGGCAUCCUGGUAUUGGAGAGAAGGACUCAGGCCCCAGAAAUGAAGCAAAAACAGCCCAAUUUCCAAUACUGAUUACUUUGGACCAGAACCGUACACAGAAAAAGAGGACACUUGGUUUUUGUUGUUUGUUUUUUGUUUUUUUUGAAAAAAAAUAAAGGAAUGAGGCAAACAAAGAACAUGGUUUUCUGACUUGGUUGAAUAUAAAGCAAAGAGGGAAGUUUAAGCUAAAUCGUAACAUGGGGUGUCCUUUUUCUUCUUCCCUUCAUAUAGAAAUCAAAACAACUUACAGAUCCUACACGACUAAUUGUUAGGAAAUUUAGAUUUGCUAAAAUUUUUGAAAUAGAAGUAUUGGUUUAAAAGCUUAUACCUU